UACGAAGGGGGCUAGCGUUGCUCGGAAUCACUGGGCGUAAGGGGUGCGAAGGGGGGCCUUUAAGUCAGGGGGGAAAUCCUGGAGCUCAACUCCAGAACUGCCUUUGAUACUGAAGAUCUUGAGUUCGGGAGAGGUGAGUGGAACUGCGAGUGUAGAGGUGAAAUUCGUAGAUAUUCGCAAGAACACCAGUGGCGAAGGCGGCUCACUGGCCCGAUACUGACGCUGAGGCACGAAAGCGUGGGGAGCAAACAGG
rnacentral:rRNA from 1 species